rnacentral:lncRNA from 1 species
GUCUGGGAUCCCGACGGCCCAGGUGCUGACCCUGCCUCGGGUUGUGUCUGCUGAGAAGUCUGAUUUCUGCUUAUCUCUCCCCAUUUAUUUCUUCCCAUAAAGUGGGCUGAUGCGCUGGAACGUCAAUGCAGCCAGUGAUGUGUUUGAUGAGAAUGUAUUGAGUAAAGCUGCCCAGAAUCCAAGUGUGUGUCAUCUGAACUCUUGAAUCAUGGAUGGAAGGUAUGUCCUCUGUUGAUGUCUCGCAGCCUGAGCUGACAAUCUGUAAGAAGGUUUUGUUAUCUUCAUGUUACAGAUGGUGAACCGAAACUUACAGAGCUCAAGUCACUUGACCGGGCUCCACCCCUACAAGAGGCAGCAUGCAAACUAAAACCCAGGCGGCCUUUUCCAAAGCUUGUGCUCUGCUCCACUGCGGGAAGGAACCCUUCGGGGAACUGAAGCAGCACUGAACAAAGGCCAUUUUUAAGAAGCGACAGCAGAAACCUAAGGCGGGGUCCCCGGCUCAACAAGGAUCUCAUGUUUUGUGGGUCAGAGAUUCUUGUGUCGUGUCUGGGUGAGGUCAAAAACCAUGCAGAGACUUUCACUUCCUGUUCUGUGGCAGACAAGACAUCUGAAAAGCUCUCCUGCAGCAACACUUCUAGAUGCCAAGUAAAUCACAGCAAAUGCCCUUUUAAAUGUGUUACUAAGAUCAUAAAAAUGAAGGAAAAUGCCCAAGCAUAUCCCCAACCCCUCACCCCACAACCACCACCACCACAAUAAACAAGUUGCUGACAGCGGAUUGGCAAGCGAGUGUGGAACCUUAGGCUGCGUUGGCAUCAAAUACUAAUAACCAAGCAAAAGGGAGCAAGACCAAGCCUGCGGGCUGUGCCAUUGAGAGCUCUUGCUGUUGUACUCUUUUGUGGUCUACACUGCGUUUAUGGGCUGUAACUAGUCGUCACAAAGGCCUGCGGUUUUCACUUUCUGCCUCAGCCAGCAAGACUGCAAACCCACCACAAAGAAAAACUUAAGAACCGUCACAUCCACCGUAAGGGUCUGCAGCUGGGUUUUUGAAGUCAGACCAAGAACCCACCAAUUCGGGACACACCAUCUGGGCAGCUGAAUCAAGACUUUGUGGAGGAGCUCCAAAGUGGG